rnacentral:lncRNA from 1 species
UUCAGAUGAUAUUAUGUUAUUUCAGAACUUUAUAAAAUUUAUGAUAUUUACUCGUUAAUAUUUUGUUGCUGUUGUUCUUGUUGACUAUUAUUCGUACUUAAAAAUGGUUUAUGGGCAAAAGCAAAUAAAUUUGAACAUUGUCAAAGAUUCAAUUAUAGAUGUAAUACAAACAUUCGUUAUCAGAAACUUCAAGUUAUGCAAAAUAUCAGUCCAAAUGUAUUGCAAGAAUCUAUAGCAAAUCGAUUAUAUUAUUUGUAAUGUUCAGAAAAGUUUACCUAAUGUAAUACAAACAUUAAUUGCAUAAUGACGUAUACUCGGAAGAACCACGGAUUGGCAUACAAUUAAAAAGUAGACAUUACGUCAAUGUCUAAAACAGCGUGUAUAUUAGACAGGAAAGCAAUUUCACUUGAUGCUAACUGUUAAUUAACGCUGGCUCAAAAGGUGAAAAUAUGGCAUAUAUCCUGUUUUUAAUCAUAUUUUUCAACUUGGCUUAUUCGCAAUAUAUUGAAAACGAUUCAAAAAUUAAUGAUUUUACGAAUAGCAUAAAAGAAAAAAUUGAACGUGAACUUAAUAAAGACCCUGGAACUCCUUUAAUGUCAAAUGACGAGUUUGCACAAGGAUGGUGCAUUGAAAAAAAAAUCAACAUAACAUUGAGCCACCCAAAAUGCAAUGACAAAAUUGUAGAAACCAAUUACUGCUGGGGUCAGUGUAAUUCUUUAUACAUACCAGGGAGAGUUUUGCUUCAAAGUUGCUCGCAGUGUCGAGCGAAAACUGUCAAAACAAAAAUAUUUGAAUUGGAUUGCAACUCAAGAA